GCCUGGGUAGCUCAGUCGGUUAAGUGUCUGACUUCAGCUCAGGUCAUGAUCGUGCAGUUUGUGGGUUCAAGCCCCGCAUCGGGCU
rnacentral:tRNA from 1 species